CAGUCGAGGGGCAGCGGGGUAGGAAGCUUGCUUUCUGCCGCCGGCGACCGGCGCUUGGGUGAGUAACACGUAUGCAACCUGGCCGUGACAGAUGGAUAACCGGGAGAAAUCCCGCCUAAUACAACAUAAUGCCGGGAGGGGACAUCCCCUGCCGGCCAAAGGGGGCGACCCCGGUCACGGAUGGGCAUGCGGCGCAUUAGGUAGUUGGUGGGGCAACGGCCCACCAAGCCGACGAUGCGUAGGGGUUCUGAGAGGAAGGUCCCCCACAUUGGAACUGAGACACGGUCCAAACUCCUACGGGAGGCAGCAGUGAGGAAUAUUGGUCAAUGGCCGGAAGGCUGAACCAGCCAAGUCGCGUGAGGGAAUAAGGCCCUACGGGUCGUAAACCUCUUUUGCCAGGGAGCAAUGCCGUCCACGUGUGGACGGAAGGAGAGUACCUGGAGAAAAAGCAUCGGCUAACUCCGUGCCAGCAGCCGCGGUAAUACGGAGGAUGCGAGCGUUAUCCGGAUUUAUUGGGUUUAAAGGGUGCGUAGGCGGCCUGCCAAGUCAGCGGUAAAAUUGCGGGGCUCAACCCCGUACAGCCGUUGAAACUGCCGGGCUCGAGUGGGCGAGAAGUAUGCGGAAUGCGUGGUGUAGCGGUGAAAUGCAUAGAUAUCACGCAGAACCCCGAUUGCGAAGGCAGCAUACCGGCGCCCGACUGACGCUG
rnacentral:rRNA from 1 species